AAGAAACAGUUUAAAACUUUCAAAAUCUUGGAGGCCUACAACCAUAUAGUUUCGGGUUUUAUUUCAAGUGUUCAAGGGAUAGUCGUAGGUGAAAAAUUCGUGGUGAUCGGAAAGGUGAGACAUUGGAAAGUGUUUAGAAUUUGUUUCUAUGCGCAUGCUCAGCCUUUUCAUACAAAAUAUCAGAAUUGUCCGCUAUCUUGGAUUUCGAACAUCAUGUAAGUAUACGACUUGGAACGCAUCAAAACCUGUUUGAUGAUCGACCAAGUUCCCUCUCACUAUAUUUUGAGCAACCGAACUUCUAUUCUUAAGUAAUGAGCCCAGUAGUCGAACGGAUUUCCUACAGCAACGGUAAGAUUACACUCGUGGCGAUAAUUUUACCCUUCGCAGCUGUUUUUAGUGAACUGCGAGAAAGCACUCUCUACGGCAUUUUUUCACUUUUCACAGAGGCAUUUAUGAGAAUUUUGGGAAAGAUUUCGGUAUAACCUCAUACCAACAAAAAUAAAGCCGAAGUCCCAAAGGUAAUCUGUUGUUUUGCUUCUGUUCUACAUCAUCAACAUAAUUUAUUUGCAAAAUCCUGUGAGGACAUACAGCAAAUUCCAGUGCAGAGUGCAAAGGUAAAAAUGAACAAAUAUGUGUGUGCAGCUAAGUAAUAAAUAAUUUAAAUACAGUGAUACUAAAAUAAAUAGAAUUAAUGGCACUAAAACUUAAGCAGAGAGAUAAUUAUCCAUAGUCACUUCAAAGUCAGUCUGUUUUCUUAUAUCCAAGAAUUGUAUGCAUAAUGAAGUAUGGGGUUAUACAGAAAUCUUGCUGAAUUUUUCACAGGGCCCACUGCGUACAGUCUGAAUGAAUAAAUAGAAAGUCUUCAUUGAUGUGGCUGCAAGGUGUGCUGGGUUUGUUGCAUCUGAACAAACAUGCUUGAAAGGACAGUGCCUUACAGUUCGUGUCUCCUUGUAAUUUCCCUCAGUAGUAUAUAAAUUAGUGCUCUAGUAAAUAGAGUCCUGUGCUUCUGAAGAGUACGAGAGCUGGCAAGCUCAAAAUACAUUAAGAUAUAUGCACUUAAUCACGAUUCCUUGUGUUUAUACAGUCAGUAUUUUACUUGACCAGUACAUGAUUUUUAGGGGUACACCACCAGUUUAGGUACUCCAUGGAGUAAGGCUCUGCAUUUUGUCAAAGAUUGAUCAAUUAGAGUGCUGUAUUUUCUUCACAAAGAUAACUAUUCAUAAAUUAUUAUUCUUUGUUUCAAUCCCAAUCACUUCUCAGCUCUUUGCUUGCUGGGGUUUCCAUUAUGGUGCAAUUUUUUUCUUUUAGUUGAAUGCCACUUUUUAAUAUUCAGACAACAACUAGCAAUGUGCAUCAUUAUUGUGGAAAUUGAAUGUUGGAAGUGAUUCUAAUGGCCUGAGUGCUUUUUUUGCCAAGGAAAACAAUUUGCCCAACAAAUCACAGUUGGUUACAAGCCCUUACAGCACUGAAUAGGGGGUAUGUGAUUAGAAUUGUCAUUAGUUGGUUCUGUUACUUGCCCUUGUUUGGACUUGAUUUUAUGUACUUAUUAAACUACCCUGUAACAAAGGGAAUAGUUUUGUAGUCAGUGUACAAUCUAUGACACUGCCACAAUUCUGUGGAUCUUAAAGAAAGCCCCUCUAAUGAAUAGUUUUAUAUUAAUUUUCUUUAGAUGUACAGGUAAUCAGAAAUAUUUACAGUUUCCUCUCUGUUACUCUCACUGCGGGUAGUCAUUAAUUUAGUGUUAAUACUCUCCCUAGUAGCAGCUUUAAUUUUUAGCCAACUUGGGAAAUAGUGGCCUAAAAUGGAUCCUUUGGGACAUCCAAACUAUUAAAUUUCCAGAGGAAGGUUCCACAGACUUUGCCAUCCAAGUGGGAAUAAGUGGCUGCUACUCUGUCAUUUUGGUCUUUCCCAGCUGCUCAAAUGUUGUCCCUCCUUAAUUUUCCCAUAGGUGUAGUAAUGAAAACAUUGAAGUGAAUUGUGCUAUCUCAGCGAGAGAUGAUAAUCAUGCUCACUUUUAAGUGAGUCAUCCUAGCAGAUGUUUGGUGACUGAGGUAUUGCAUUCUGUGCUCAAAAUCUAGUUCACACAGACCUGGGGAAAAAAAAAUGAGGUGCAGCAGUCAUUCAGGUCAGUUAACUGCUCCGAGCUGUAAUUCGAUGCCACUGCUCACUUGGUUAACUUUCUUGACAACUCUUUCUGGUUAUUUGGGUUUUCUUGGAAACUCUUCCCAUUGAGAAGAAGCAUAUGUGUUUACAAAUUAAAAGCACAGAAAAGUGAAAAAAAAAAAUAGAGUAACAGGACGGCAUCAAAGAUUGUAGUAUAAUUUUUUUUGUAGGGGGUAGUUUUUUAUUUUUGAAUCAGAGUUUUAGCCUUAGUGUGUCUAAGUUUCUACACUUGUUGUUUACUCUGUCAUUUCUUGCCUUAAGAAGUAAGAUAAAAUUAUUUGAAUUUGCUUUUUCCUUACAGCCACUUGAGUCUGUAAAUCGAAAGCAAACACAGAAAAAUGAUGCAGAUUGUAGCUUCAAUAGAUGCCAGAAAUAUGUUUAUGAAAAACUGGCAGAUGCAGUUUUGUAUUGUACUCCAGUGCAACAGGAGAGGGAAAAAAGGUUAGGAAGAACAAGAGAGAGACGUUAAGAGAUGGGAGGCAUGGAGUGGGAGAGAAGAAGAGUGGGUGUAGCGGCAAAAGAAAGGACCCAGGAUGAUAUUAACAGAGGAAGAGAAAAGAGAAGGGUUCGCUGUCACAAGUGUAGAGGGUUUAGCCACAUACGUGCCUAAUUUCCGACGAGACGCGGCCCGGUUGUGCCCCACCAUCGGCAAGGAAAGCAACCGGCAGAUCAAGCAAAGGAAGCGAUACCCUACUAAGUGACUCUUGAUGUCAUAUCAAGUUCUCCUUUGGUUCCACAAGUAAACAGGCAGCACGUUGGAAUGAGACUAUAGUAGUUCAUCCCAAGUCACCAAGGGCUUCUUUUGCACUCGACACUUCAAUUAUUCUGUUACAAUGUUUUAUCUGACAGUGAAUAGUACCCGUGGGCCUCUACGUAGAUGUUCACUUUGCUUGUGAAGCAAAGAUAAAUCAAUAGUUUUCCGUCAAUAUAUGCACAUGCGUCUAUGUAUACAGCGACUUCUGGGAAAAUUUCUCAUUGCCUGUAAACAUUUUUAACGCGAAAUUGAAUAAUCCCCAGGCUUUGUGCAGGGGAUUCUACAAUGUACCGGCUAAAAUUAUUGACUUCAGUCAAGGGUAACUUUUCGACACCUACCCCCGACCCAAAAUUCUUUUACGCGAAUUAAGGGUGCAAUUCCAGCGAUCUAACUAACAACUGCAGUAUAUCUGUUCAUACCUGUUUCCAUGUUUUGAGUACAUUCGAGAACUGUAUUAUGAAUUCUCGGUUUACCCCGUUUUUCUACAGCUAGAACUAACUCAUUAAAACAAAGGAAAAUCGGGUAUAAACGGGUUAAGUUCUGACAAUUCAUCACGCAAGUGAAAUGUAACCUCAGUUGUCAUGUCAAAUCGUCACCCCGAUUUUCCUUUUUUUAUUGAAUUAAUUCUAGUAAAACGGAGUAAACUCUGAAAAUUCAUGCUACACUCAAGCGGAUAAUACCCGUAGUUCCCUUAUCCCAUCUUUACUCUGAUUUUGCAAUUUUUUCAAGGAAUUAUAGAAAAACGGGUAAAUUCUAGUAACUCAUCUUCCAAGUGAAAUAUAUUCUAUUAACUUGCCACAUCUAAUCUACUUCCCGAUUUUUCAUUUUAAUUUUCGAUGAAUUCUAGAAAAACGAGACUCAUUCUGAAAAAUUCAUCCUCCAAGAGGAAUUUAUCCUACUGACUUGC